GGUUACUGAUGUGUCGUUCUUUUUGCAGUGGCUCGAUUCGAUUUCUCUUGGUGCGAUGCUGAUUAUCACCAGGAGACGCUGGAGAAUCUGAAGAUAGCUGUGAAGAGCACUAAGA
rnacentral:sRNA from 1 species